GCUCCUUUUCCCUUUCUUUUUCUUUUUCCUCUCUUCUCUGUCUAUCUGCUUUUUGAGAAAUAACAAGAAAGAACGGUCUUCUUAUACCUAUGGCGUCCAUUACUGGGUACAAUGAUGUGGCUGUGGCUGUGGCCGUGGCGCUGAAUCACCCAAACCCUCCUGCUAAGACCGUUGAUACUUAGUCUGUUCUCAAAAGGUAGAUUUGGGUUUGUCAAGAAUUUGGGUUUUUCUUUAUUUUUAUUGUGACUUUAAUUAUAUGCUUAGGAUUAUUGAAUAUAUGUAGACAAGCUGUUUGUUGAAAGGUUUCUUAGAGGAUAAAUGGGUUGUUUUGAGGUGUGGGUUUGUCUAUUUGUUAUGGAUUAUUGAGUUCUUGUUUUGGGUAUUUGUUUCUGACUUUGUAUGGAUAUUGGGUUCAUGAUCUGCACCUUCUGUUUGUAAAAGGGUUACUUAGAAAGCUAGAUGGGGUUUUUUUAGGGUAUUGGCUUUUUGUUUUUUUUUUUGAAUCUCUGAGAAUAUAAAUCUUGAAAACUUGAGAACUUUUGAAUUGGCUUUUUAUGAGGGGUUUGUAGGAUUUCUAAUGCUGUUUCCUUUGUUAUUGUCUUAUGAAACAAGUUGCAAUCUGAAUUCAUGGCCUUAAUCAUAAGAACCUUAAUAGUUAAUGGAAAUGUUGAUCCUAUUAAUAAUCUUUCUUUAGAAUGCACUAUGAGGAGAGUGUUCAGAUCAUUAUUGGUACAUUUAUUACUGUUCACUGUUUAUUAUCUUGAGAUUGCAAGUAUUUGAAUUUCAAUUAACUUAGCUAUCUUAGUGUAUAAGGUUUGUUCUUGUUGAAUUUUAAGGGGGGAGGAAAAAACAAAAACCAAAAAUUUUGAAAUCAAAAUUGACGGUGAUUAGAUUGAUAAUUAUGGUUUAAUUAAAUUUCAGUAUUCAGACUAGAUUUGAUUUCUUUUUUCUUCGGAUUCUUUUGAAUGGUUGUUAUUUGCGGACUAAUGUACAACUGUACAAGUAGAGCCGAUUGUUGAGCAAAUUGAUAUGCUUGAUGGUUUCACAGGAAAACUUUGAUUUGGAUGCAACUAAGAGUUCCGUCAGGUAUUGUUAGGUACUUGUUAUCUUUCUUAGUGUUAUGACAUUCAAGACUAUCAUGAGAUUCAUUAAAUUUUUAGUAGAGUGAUGCUUGUAUUGUGUGUUAAAAAUGUUCUCAAGGGGAUGAAAGCAUGUUGUUCUGCCCAGCUGACAUGAAAUAAACGUUGCUCCUGCAUUCACAUAUCUACAAGUCUAUAUUAAGUUAUAUUACUUUCUUCUUGAUAUUUAGUAGGUCGAUAAUUGAUGAAGGCCUGUACAGAUAUUUAAGAUUACAAACAUUGAAGGACGAUCAAUUGAAAAUCAACAAAUCUGGAGGCUCUAUGAUGCAUAUUUCUCUCCACCAUUGCUAAAUUUUGCGUGUCAAGUAAUGUGGUGUUGUGUUGUAUUGAGAAGGAAGAUGGGAGCUUUUCUCCUCUCCAGUCAAAUCUCUCUCUCUCUCUCUUUUAUUUUUUGUUUAUAUUGUAUUUUUCUCUUAAUGAUCAGGGUCUUCAACAAAAACUUGGCAAAAAAAAAAAAAAAAGCCAAUUAGAAACAUAUCCAGAAGUUUGGAGAUGGUAAGCAACAUGUAAAAGGUUUUGGAGACCUAGAGAAGCUCUGCUACAAAGUAGUUUUAUAGACACUCCAUGGUGGUGCUGGUAAGUGAAUAAAAAAGUUUAACAUAUGCCUACAAGAAAAAUAAAAUAAAAUCCAUGCAAUUGUGUUGGGCAAGAAGCAAAGGUAACCACUGAAUUUUAAAGGUGGUUGGAGAUGAGAACUUAAAUGGAAGUGUUACCUCGAUGGCAUGGCUUAACAAUUCCCAUUGAGUAAACUGUUUGUAAAUGUAUGUAGUCAUGCUUUAUUGUUAUAACUAUAGUCAACUAUGCAAUGGUCUAAUGUUUUUGGUGUAUGAGACAAGUUAUAUAUGAUAUAUCAAUGACAUGUUCUCCAUGACUGUAUUUUGGUUAUUUA